CAGCCAUGCCGCGUGUAUGAAGAAGGCCUUCGGGUUGUAAAGUACUUUCAGCAAUGAGGAAGGGGAUGUCGUUAAUAGCGGCAUCUCUUGACGUUAGCUGCAGAAGAAGCACCGGCUAACUCCGUGCCAGCAGCCGCGGUAAUACGGAGGGUGCGAGCGUUAAUCGGAAUUACUGGGCGUAAAGCGCAUGCAGGUGGUUUGUUAAGUCAGAUGUGAAAGCCCGGGGCUCAACCUCGGAACUGCAUUUGAAACUGGCAAACUAGAGUACUGUAGAGGGGGGUAGAAUUUCAGGUGUAGCGGUGAAAUGCGUAGAGAUCUGAAGGAAUACCAGUGGCGAAGGCGGCCCCCUGGACAGAUACUGACACUCAGAUGCGAAAGCGUGGGGAGCAAACAGGAUUAGAUACCCUGGUAGUCCACGCCGUAAACGAUGUCUACUUGGAGGUUGUGGCCUUGAGCCGUGGCUUUCGGAGCUAACGCGUUAAGUAGACCGCCUGGGGAGUACGGUCGCAAGAUUAAAACUCAAAUGAAUUGACGGGGGCCCGCACAAGCGGUGGAGCAUGUGGUUUAAUUCGAUGCAACGCGAAGAACCUUACCUACUCUUGACAUCCAGAGAACUUAGCAGAGAUGCUUUGGUGCCUUCGGGAACUCUGAGACAGGUGCUGCAUGGCUGUCGUCAGCUCGUGUUGUGAAAUGUUGGGUUAAGUCCCGCAACGAGCGCAACCCUUAUCCUUGUUUGCCAGCGAGUAAUGUCGGGAACUCCAGGGAGACUGCCGGUGAUAAACCGGAGGAAGGUGGGGACGACGUCAAGUCAUCAUGGCCCUUACGAGUAGGGCUACACACGUGCUACAAUGGCGCAUACAGAGGGCAGCCAACUCGCGAGAGUGAGCGAAUCCCAAAAAGUGCGUCGUAGUCCGGAUUGGAGUCUGCAACUCGACUCCAUGAAGUCGGAAUCGCUAGUAAUCGUAGAUCAGAAUGCUACGGUGAAUACGUUCCCGGGCCUUGUACACACCGCCCGUCACACCAUGGGAGUGGGCUGCAAAAGAAGUGGGUAGUUUAACCUUCGGGAGGACGCUCACCACUUUGUGGUUCAUGACUGGGGUG
rnacentral:rRNA from 1 species